CUUCGUUUGGCAGUGGAGUAUUAGCGGGGAUUGCGGAGUAUUAUCCCCGACCAACUCUGAAUCCCCGACUUUCCCCGGAAGCUCGUUUGGCGCUAGAGUUUGGGCCAGUUUUAUCCCCGCCCAUCCCUGCAUAUCCCCGUCCCCGAUCUUCUUUUUGCCUUGAACACAAUCCACGACCCAGACCUCGUGUUUUAUCCCCGUCCCCGACCAAAACGUAGCUACAGGUGGCGCGCAAGGCAACCAGAGAGAGCGGCGGCGAGCGGAGGUGCGGGAGCUGCGGGAGGGGCAGAAGCGACGACACACAUGGAUCCGGUCGAGCCGCUCCAUAUCACUGCCACCGCCGCCGUUCUUGCGAUCUGACCGGCGCCGCCGCCGCCGUUCUUGCGAUGUGACCGGCGACGCCACCUCCCGCCGAUCCUGUAAUCCGGUCUACAACUCUACAUCCUCUUCGAUGGAAAAUUCUUCAGUGAAGGUGACCGAGGAGAGCCGCUGCGCCUCCCAGGAAGCAAAAGUCAUGGCUAUGGAUACAUAUACACAUGUACUGCCGUGUGGCCUAUGUUUCAUUUCAUGACUUGAUCGAGCUCAUGUACUCCUUCAGGCCAUAGUAUUGUCAACCUUAAUGUAUGCUAUACCUCAUUUAUGUACUGUUGUGUGACAUAUGUUUCAAUUUAGAAACAUACAUGUACUGCCGUGUGACC